GAAAAUUUAGUUAAAAAUAUAACAUUAUCUUGUCAAGAUAAAAUUGUUUAUUAAAAAACAAUUUUCU
rnacentral:tRNA from 1 species